rnacentral:rRNA from 1 species
UACAGAGGUCUCAAGCGUUGUUCGGAUUCAUUGGGCGUAAAGGGUGCGUAGGUGGCGCGCUAAGUCGGGUGUGAAAUCUCGGAGCUUAACUCCGAAACUGCAUUCGAUACUGGCGUGCUUGAGGACUGGAGAGGAGACUGGAAUUUACGGUGUAGCAGUGAAAUGCGUAGAUAUCGUAAGGAAGACCAGUGGCGAAGGCGGGUCUCUGGACAGUUCCUGACACUGAGACACGAAGGCCAGGGGAGCAAAACGGG